AUUGAACGCUGGCGGCAGGCCUAACACAUGCAAGUCGAGCGGAUGAAGGGAGCUUGCUCCUGGAUUCAGCGGCGGACGGGUGAGUAAUGCCUAGGAAUCUGCCUGGUAGUGGGGGAUAACGUCCGGAAACGGGCGCUAAUACCGCAUACGUCCUGAGGGAGAAAGUGGGGGAUCUUCGGACCUCACGCUAUCAGAUGAGCCUAGGUCGGAUUAGCUAGUUGGUGGGGUAAAGGCCUACCAAGGCGACGAUCCGUAACUGGUCUGAGAGGGUGAUCAGUCACACUGGAACUGAGACACGGUCCAGACUCCUACGGGAGGCAGCAGUGGGGAAUAUUGGACAAUGGGCGAAAGCCUGAUCCAGCCAUGCCGCGUGUGUGAAGAAGGUCUUCGGAUUGUAAAGCACUUUAAGUUGGGAGGAAGGGCAGUAAGUUAAUGCCUUGCUGUUUUGACGUUACCAACAGAAUAAGCACCGGCUAACUUCGUG
rnacentral:rRNA from 1 species